CCUAAAGCAUACAAUCCAAAAACUAACAUGUGGCCAAUAACGAUGUGCCAAAUAUCCCAUCUCCACCCUGGUUCCACCCCUGCCUUACUCUAUCCAAUAGCGAUCCAAUAGUGCCACCCUGGCUCCACCCCCACCUUACCCUAUAUAAACCUGUGCAUUUGCUGAAUAAAGCCAAGGUGUUCCAGAAACCUUACUGGAAUUUGUGUGGUGGUUCUGCACCUUGCCCUCACAGUCUGGACCCCCUGAACACUGUUCCGUGAGUGGACUUGCAGACGAAAACAACAACUGGUGCCCGAACAGGGGACUCCUAUAUACUGGGUAAAGAUUGAAGUUUCGGGAGUCAGCCCCCGCCUGCUGGUCUCUCACUUCCUGUCUAUGAAGUGCCCCAGCUAAAACCCCCUCAUCACUGGAAUAAUGGUCAUCCGGAAGAGCCUACCUUUUCCAGUCCAAGAUGGCGGCCUCCACCCUGUGCGCCGCAGGCGGAUGAGGAGAAACAAUACUUUAAUCGGGCCUUAGCAUGGCUUCGGGGUCCUAGGCCUCCGGGUCACCCAGCCUCCUCCUCCAAAGCCCAGUCCAGAACAGCUGAGAGCUCCGGAAAAGUUUCAUAGCGAAAGACCUGCAGCUUCAGGGCACUGGGGCCUGCUGCCCGGAGCCAGGAGGGGAGCCUGGUCGGUGGCCAAGUCCAACA
rnacentral:lncRNA from 1 species